UUGUUUCAGAUUUCUGGUGGUGGUGCUCGCUUCAAUGCAGGGGCAAGAAAAGAGAAGAAUCGACAUAUCAGAUUUGCAAUUUAGCUGUUAUGAAAGAAGGACCAACCCAAAUAUACUCGGUUUAGGGAAUCAUUUAGGGAAAGGAGGCUAGAGGCUGAUAGGUUCUUCGCAAGCAACUUAAAUGCGCAUGUAUACUCCAAGAAAAUGCUAGAAUGGGUGAACAUGACCAAGAGCCUGAAUGAUGUGAUUGAUGAAUUUGUCCAUCUAUUGGCAUAGACCAAUAAGUUUGGUCAAGUUGUUAGAACCAUGUUCACUGAUUAGCUGGAUUAUGUUGUGUUUAUGUAAUUCUUGCUCUGGAAGCAUUAGAGAAAUAUACAUGUUUUCAUAGUAUCGUUGCAGUAAUUAUUCUCUUUCAAGAGUAUCAUUCUAUCUAUCAGUAUAUAGAAUCAAUGUUUUGCUUUAACCAUCAUCAUGUUCUAUGAUACAUUGGACUCUCAUAUUGACCAUG